CUACGGGGGAAAGCGGGGGCCUUCGGGCCUCGCACUAUUGGAUGAGCCUAUGUCUGAUUAGUUUGUUGGUGGGGUAAUGGCCUACCAAGGCGACGAUCAGUAGCUGGUCUGAGAGGACGAUCAGCCACACUGGGAUUGAGAUACGGCCCAGACUCCUACGGGAGGCAGCAGUGGGGAAUAUUGGACAAUGGGCGCAAGCCUGAUCCAGCAAUGCCGCGUGUGUGAAGAAGGCCCGAGGGUUGUAAAGCACUUUCAACAGUAAAGAAAAGUUCGGUGCUAAUACCACCGAACCCUGACGUUAGCUGUAGAAGAAGCACUGGCUAACUCCGUGCCAGCAGCCGCGGUAAUACGGAGGGUGCGAGCGUUAAUCGGAAUUACUGGGCGUAAAGCGUGCGUAGGUGGCUUGGUAAGUCGGAUGUGAAAGCCCCGAGCUCAACUUGGGAAUUGCAUUCGAUACUGCUAGGCUAGAGUAUGGUAGAGGGAAGUGGAAUUUCCGGUGUAGCGGUGAAAUGCGUAGAGAUCGGAAGGAACACUAGUGGCGAAGGCGGCUUCCUGGACCAAUACUGACACUGAGGUACGAAAGCGUGGGGAGCAAACAGGAUUAGAUACCCUGGUAGUCCACGCCCUAAACGAUGUCAACUAGCCGUUGGGG
rnacentral:rRNA from 1 species